GUGGGGAAUAUUGGGCAAUGGGCGCAAGCCUGACCCAGCAACGCCGCGUGAGGGAAGAAGGCUUUCGGGUUGUAAACCUCUGUCCUUGGUGACGAAAAAAAUGACGGUAGCCAAGGAGGAAGCCCCGGCUAACUACGUGCCAGCAGCCGCGGUAAUACGUAGGGGGCGAGCGUUGUCCGGAAUUACUGGGCGUAAAGGGUGCGUAGGUGGCCUUUUAAGUUGGAUGUGAAAUACCCGGGCUUAACUUGGGGGGUGCAUCCAAAACUGGGAGGCUAGAGUGCAGGAGAGGAAAGCGGAAUUCCUAGUGUAGCGGUGAAAUGCGUAGAUAUUAGGAGGAACACCAGUGGCGAAGGCGGCUUUCUGGACUGUAACUGACACUGAGGCACGAAAGCGUGGGGAGCAAACAGGAUUAGAAACCCGUGUAGUCC
rnacentral:rRNA from 1 species